AUUAAACGCUGGCGGCAUGCCUUACACAUGCAAGUCGAACGGCAGCGGGGGAGAAGCUUGCUUUUCCUGCCGGCGAGUGGCGAACGGGUGAGUAAUACAUCGGAACGUGCCCUGUAGUGGGGGAUAACUAGUCGAAAGAUUAGCUAAUACCGCAUACGACCUGAGGGUGAAAGUGGGGGACCGCAAGGCCUCAUGCUAUAGGAGCGGCCGAUGUCUGAUUAGCUAGUUGGGGGGGUAAAGGCCUACCAAGGCGACGAUGAGUAGCUGGUCUGAGAGGACGAUCAGCCACAGUGGGACUGAGACACGGCCCAAACUCCUACGGGAGGCAGCAGUGGGGAAUUUUGGACAAUGGGCGAAAGCCUGAUCCAGCAAUGCCGCGUGUGUGAAGAAGGCCUUCGGGUUGUAAAGCACUUUUGUCCGGAAAGAAAUGGCUCUGGUUAAUACCUGGGGUCGAUGACGGUACCGGAAGAAUAAGGACCGGCUAACUACGUGCCAGCCGCCGCGGUAA
rnacentral:rRNA from 1 species